AAGGUAGCGAAAUGCCUUGUCGGGUAAGUUCCGACCUGCACGAAUGGCGUAACGACUUCCCCACUGUCUCCAGUAUAGACUCAGCGAAAUUGAAUUCCCCGUGAAGAUGCGGGGUUCCUGCGGUCAGACGGAAAGACCCCAUGAACCUUUACUAUAGCUUUGCGCUGGCACUUGUGUCGGCAUGUGCAGGAUAGGUGGUAGGCUUUGAA
rnacentral:rRNA from 1 species